rnacentral:rRNA from 1 species
AUUGAACGCUGGCGGCAGGCCUAACACAUGCAAGUCGAGCGAGUGGCGGACGGGUGAGUAAUGUCUGGGAAUCUGCCCGAUAGAGGGGGAUAACUACUGGAAACGGUAGCUAAUACCGCAUACCAUCGGAUGUACCCAGAUGGGAUUAGCUAGUUGGUGGGGUAAAGGCUCACCAAGGCGACGAUCUCUAGCUGGUCUGAGAGGAUGAUCAGCCACACUGGAACUGAGACACGGCCCAGACUCCUACGGGAGGCAGCAGUGGGGAAUAUUGCACAAUGGGCGCAAGCCUGAUGCAGCCAUGCCGCGUGUAUGAAGAAGGCCUUAGGGUUGUAAAGUACUUUCAGCGGGGAGGCGUUACCCGCAGAAGAAGCACCGGCUAACUCCGUGCCAGCAGCCGCGGUAAUAC